rnacentral:rRNA from 1 species
AGGAUGAACGCUGGCGGCGUGCUUAACACAUGCAAGUCGAACGAUGAAGGCUGGAGCUUGCUCUGGCUGGAUUAGUGGCGAACGGGUGAGUAACACGUGAGUAACCUGCCCCAGACUCUGGGAUAAGCGCUGGAAACGGCGUCUAAUACCGGAUACGAGCUUCCACCGCAUGGUGAGGAGCUGGAAAGAAUUUCGGUCUGGGAUGGACUCGCGGCCUAUCAGCUUGUUGGUGAGGUAAUGGCUCACCAAGGCGACGACGGGUAGCCGGCCUGAGACGGGGUGACCGGGCCAACGACGUCGGGAACUUGGAGACACGGCCAGAC